rnacentral:rRNA from 1 species
AUUGAACGCUGGCGGCAUGCCUUACACAUGCAAGUCGAACGGUAACGGGCCUUCGGGUGCCGACGAGUGGCGAACGGGUGAGUAAUACAUCGGAACGUGCCCGAUCGUGGGGGAUAACGAGGCGAAAGCUUUGCUAAUACCGCAUACGAUCUACGGAUGAAAGCAGGGGACCGCAAGGCCUUGCGCGGACGGAGCGGCCGAUGGCAGAUUAGGUAGUUGAUGGGAUAAAAGCUUACCAAGCCGACGAUCUGUAGCUGGUCUGAGAGGAUGAUCAGCCACACUGGGACUGAGACACGGCCCAGACUCCUACGGGAGGCAGCAGUGGGGAAUUUUGGACAAUGGGCGCAAGCCUGAUCCAGCCAUGCCGCGUGCAGGAUGAAGGCCUUCGGGUUGUAAACUGCUUUUGUACGGAACGAAAAGCCUUCUUUUAAUACAGGAGGGUCAUGACGGUACCGUAAGAAUAAGCACCGGCUAACUACGUG